AGUGAACGCUGGCGGUAGGCCUAACACAUGCAAGUCGAACGGCAGCACAGUAAGAGCUUUCUCUUACUGUUGGCGAGUGGCGGACGGGUGAGGAAUACAUCGGAAUCUACUUUUUCGUGGGUGAUAACGUAGGGAAACUUACGCUAAUACCUCAUACUUUCUACGGCUUGAAGUAGGAGAUCUUCGGACCUUUCGCGUCUCAAUUAGCCGAUGUCGGAUUAGCUAGUUGGCGGGGUAAAGGCACACCAAGGCGACGAUCCGUAGCUGGUCUGAGAGGAUGAUCAGCCACACUGGAACUGAGACACGGUCCAGACUCCUACGGGAGGCAGCAGUAGGGAAUAUUGGACAAUGGGCGCAAGCCUGAUCCAGCAAUGCCGCGUGGGUAAAGAAGGCCUUCGGGUUGUAAAGCCCUGUUGUUGGGGAAGAAAAGAAGCAGAUGAAUACCCCGCUGUUCUGACGGUACCCAAAGAAUAAGCAACGGCUAACUUCGUG
rnacentral:rRNA from 1 species